UACGAAGGGUGCAAGCGUUACUCGGAAUUACUGGGCGUAAAGCGUGCGUAGGUGGUUCGUUAAGUCUGAUGUGAAAGCCCUGGGCUCAACCUGGGAAUGGCAUUGGAUACUGGCGACCUAGAGUGCGGUAGAGGGUGGCGGAAUUCCCGGUGUAGCAGUGAAAUGCGUAGAUAUCGGGAGGAACAUCCGUGGCGAAGGCGGCCACCUGGACCAGCACUGACACUGAGGCACGAAAGCCAGGGGAGCGAACGGG
rnacentral:rRNA from 1 species